rnacentral:tRNA from 1 species
AGCAGCAUGGCUCAGUGGAAAGAGCCCGAGCUUGGAAGUCAGGUCACAGGUUCGAAUCCUGGUUCUGCCA